UUUUGACCUCGGAUCAGGUAGGGAUACCCGCUGAACUUAAGCAUAUCAAUAAGCGGAGGAAAAGAAACCAACAGGGAUUGCCCUAGUAACGGCGAGUGAAGCGGCAACAGCUCAAAUUUGAAAUCUGGCCCUCUUGGGGGUCCGAGUUGUAAUUUGUAGAGGGUGCUUUGGCGUUGGCCCCGACCUAAGUUCCUUGGAACAGGACGUCACAGAGGGUGAGAACCCCGUACGUGGUCGUCGGUCUUCGCCGUGUAAAGCCCCUUCGACGAGUCGAGUUGUUUGGGAAUGCAGCUCUAAAUGGGAGGUAAAUUUCUUCUAAAGCUAAAUAUUGGCCAGAGACCGAUAGCGCACAAGUAGAGUGAUCGAAAGAUGAAAAGCACUUUGGAAAGAGAGUCAAAAAGCACGUGAAAUUGUUGAAAGGGAAGCGCUUGCAGCCAGACUUGCCUGUAGUUGCUCAUCCGGGCUUUUGCCCGGUGCACUCUUCUGCGGGCAGGCCAGCAUCAGUCCAGGCGGUCGGAUAAAGGCCUUGGGAAUGUGGCUCUCUUCGGGGAGUGUUAUAGCCCAGGGUGCAAUGCGGCCAGCUUGGACUGAGGUCCGCGCAUCUGCUAGGAUGCUGGCGUAAUGGCUGUAAGCGGCCCGUCUUGAAACACGGACCAAGGAGUCUAACAUCUAUGCGAGUGUUUGGGUGUCAAGCCCGAGCGCGUAAUGAAAGUGAACGGAGGUGGGAACCCCUCGGGGUGCACCAUCGACCGAUCCUGAUGUCUUCGGAUGGAUUUGAGUAAGAGCAUAGCUGUUGGGACCCGAAAGAUGGUGAACUAUGCCUGAAUAGGGUGAAGCCAGAGGAAACUCUGGUGGAGGCUCGCAGCGGUUCUGACGUGCAAAUCGAUCGUCAAAUUUGGGCAUAGGGGCGAAAGACUAAUCGAACUAUCUAGUAGCUGGUUCCUGCCGAAGUUUCCCUCAGGAUAGCAGUAACGUUUUCAGUUUUAUGAGGUAAAGCGAAUGAUUAGAGGCAUGGGGGUUGAAACAACCUUCACCUAUUCUCAAACUUUAAAUAUGUAAGAAGUCCUUGUUACUUAAUUGAACGUGGACAUUUGAAUGUACCGUUACUAGUGGGCCAUUUUUGGUAAGCAGAACUGGCGAUGCGGGAUGAACCGAACGCGGGGUUAAGGUGCCAGAAUGCACGCUCAUCAGACACCACAAAAGGUGUUAGUUCAUCUAGACAGCAGGACGGUGGCCAUGGAAGUCGGAAUCCGCUAAGGAGUGUGUAAC
rnacentral:rRNA from 1 species